UGUCUAUUAAUUGUAGACCAGCAUGAAAGGCAACAUGAGGGCCCAACUGUCUCUUAUAAUAAAUCAAUAAAACUGAUCUCCUAGUAAAAAAGCUAGAAUUUUACCAUAAGACCAGAAGACCCUGUGAAGCUUAAACUAAACUAUUAAAACAUAUAAUAACUACUUUCGGUUGGGGCGACCUUGGAAAAAAAAAGAACUUCCAAUACAUUAACAUACCAAACCACACUAGGCCUACAAGCCACACAUUACGACCCAGCAUAGCUGAUUAUUGAACCAAGUUACUCCAGGGAUAACAGCGCCAUCUUCUUCAAGAGCCCAUAUCAAAAAGAAGGUUUACGACCUCGAUGUUGGAUCAGGACAUCCUAA
rnacentral:rRNA from 1 species